rnacentral:rRNA from 1 species
CCAGACUCCUACGGGAGGCAGCAGUGGGGAAUAUUGCACAAUGGGCGCAAGCCUGAUGCAGCCAUGCCGCGUGUAUGAAGAAGGCCUUCGGGUUGUAAAGUACUUUCAGCGGGGAGGAAGGGAGUAAAGUUAAUACCUUUGCUCAUUGACGUUACCCGCAGAAGAAGCACCGGCUAACUCCGUGCCAGCAGCCGCGGUAAUACGGAGGGUGCAAGCGUUAAUCGGAAUUACUGGGUGUAAAGGGCGUGCAGCCGGGCUGACAAGUCAGAUGUGAAAUCCCGCGGCUCAACCGCGGAACUGCAUUUGAAACUGUCAGUCCUGAGUACCGGAGAGGUCAUCGGAAUUCCUUGUGUAGCGGUGAAAUGCGUAGAUAUAAGGAAGAACACCAGUGGCGAAGGCGGAUGACUGGACGGCAACUGACGGUGAGGCGCGAAAGCGUGGGGAGCAAACAGGAUUAGAUACCCUAGUA